UACGAAGGACCCGAGCGUUAUCCGGAUUUACUGGGUUUAAAGGGUGCGUAGGUGGACCUAUAAGUCAGUGGUGAAAUCCUGCAGCUUAACUGCAGAACUGCCAUUGAUACUGCUAACCUAGAGUACAGCUGAUGUGGGCGGAAUGUGUCGUGUAGCGGUGAAAUGCUUAGAUAUGACACAGAACACCGAUUGCGAAGGCAGCUCACAAAAACUGUAACUGACGCUGAGGCACGAAAGCGUGGGGAUCGAACAGG
rnacentral:rRNA from 1 species